rnacentral:tRNA from 1 species
GGUCUAUUAGUCUAGUGGUCAGGACGUUGGAUUUUGACUAAUAAUAUCCUUAUUCCAAAGACACCAGUUCGAACCUGGUAUGGACCU